GGAGUCUGGAUAAUUUCUCUAAAACUUCACAAGGAGUGAAAGAGCACUGAAGCUUCAUAUUAAUGUUUUUUUUUUUUUUUUUAAGUAAAAUGUUGCUGACAAGGUGAAAAAUUGGUUUUCUGUUUAAAAAAAAAAAAAGUCAUGAUUUCUCAAGUCAGAAUGCUUUAGUAACAACUUCCACUGUAAACUUUAACAGUAUUUGUUGUUUUUAGAAUAUAAGAAGUGGACAAUGACUAGAUAAUACAGAAACAAUUUCAAGACAUUACCCAGGUCAGGUUUGAACCUGGGUUCACAUGAGUACAACAAAUAUGAGCAAGCAUGCAACCUGUUGUGCCACUGCUAAGCAGUAACUUUGUCACAAAAAAAACUUAAUCUACCACAUAAAUGAUUUGAAAACACCAUAUUCAAUGAAAGUUCUGGUGUAUGGUUAGUAAACGUGUGGGAGGGGUGGAGAUGAGCACCAUGUGAUUAAACAGCAUGCUCUGUAGCCUUCUGUAUUGCUUUUACAACCAAACUUAGCAAUGGAAGUUUGCUGAAAAGUUGCUUAAACUAUAUGGUCUAAAAUGUUGACUGCAUCCUUUUUCUUUUCUGCGUUAGAAGAUCAAUCUUUUAAAUGGAGUUUGUUGAACAGUUAGAUUCAAUUAUAAAGGGGGUCACCCACUUCAUGAGAAGUACUAUGGCAGCAGAGACAGCACUGCCGGCCCCGUCUGGGUGAAUAGACAAAGCAAAGCCGUUAUCGGAAACAGUGUGAGGGAACAUUACACAGAGAGCGUUGUCGUGGGCUUUCGAGACCAGCACCAUCUGCUCCAUUGUCACCGCCGUAGGAAGGAAAGAAUGAGUCAACUCACAGUGCAGGCGGGGACACCGUUCCUCCUGUAAGACCCGCCAAAAUGACAGGAGACGCAGGAAAAUGGAGGUGUGCUACGCGCUCACUGUCUGGUAAUAAUGAGGGUGUGCAUUUCUUUUCUUUCUGUGAAUGUGACAGGGGUGUUACAGUGAACCGUAAGUAGGAGUUAGCAUACGACUGACAUUAAUAACUGUUAUGGUAGAUACAUGUGAAGAUUUUGCAUUAUUCAGUAGUUGGAAAUUAUAUGUUGGAAAACACGACUGCUUAUUUGUAUAGCGUGCACUGGAUAAAUUAAUGGCUUCGUCAUGACUUUGACUGUAUAUGCAAAUUUAUGGGUGAUAUUAAGCGGAAUUCCUCACCCAGAAGAGAAUAAGUUUCUAUUCCUCAUGCUCAGUUUAAAAUGGUAGGCUAUAGCCAAUUUAUAAUUAUUAAUUAAACCUGACAGAUGCAUGUUGUACUUUGCUCAACUUCCAGAUAUGUUAUCAAUUAUCAGUGUAAUUAUACUUACUUAUUAGUAUAAGA
ensembl:lncRNA